ACUCCCCCCCAACGCCCAAAGCCCAAGGGCUUCGUCGGGCCCUGCCUGUUGGCCCGCCCCAUCUGCGGCCAGGGGAUGGGCGCGGGGUCAGCCGGCCGGCACCCAGCCUCCCCACGCCGUGUCCUUCCAGCCUGGGCCCCGACAUUACUGGCGCUGCGGCAACCUCGGCUAAGACUGCGGGCGCUGGUCAGCGGCCGGAGCGCCGGGAGCUACACGUCCCCCCCGCGGGGUGGGAUCGAGGGACGAACCUGGCCUGGAGGGCCCUGCGGCCUCCGUUCUCGGUCUUGCCUGGCGCGCGCCGUUAAACACAGAGCGGAGCAAAGACGGAAGGAAAUGGUAGCUGAGCACUGGGCGAGGGCAGAGGAUUGCUUGGGCUGCUAUUCUGAAAUGAGACAGGAGAGGAUCAAGGCCCAAUGCAGGAAGACCCUCUAGGAGGCUACUCCGUGAUCCAGGGCACCUAGAAGAAAAUUGAACUUUUCUGACGUUAGGCUGUCUCCUCACAACUUGAUGAUGCCCUCAGGCUCUAGUGAGUUAAUCAGAAGGAAGAUUGACCCAGGUGGGCCUGACGUAAGCAGGCAAGCCCUUUAAAAGAUGAUUUAGAGGUUCAGAGGUUUUCUCUCCUGUUGGCUUUGAAGAAGUAAACUACCAUGGAUUCUAUAGCAGCAAGAAGAUUAAUUUGGCCAAAAACCACAUGAGCUUGGAAGAGGACCCUGAGCCUCAGAUAAGAACACAGGCCUGAGCAACACCUUGACUGCAGUGCUGUGAAACCCUGAGCAGAAAAUCCAGCUUAAGCUAUGUCUAUACCCUCAACCCAUGGAAACUGUGAGAUAAUAAAUGGGUAUUGUUUUAUGCUGA